CAAGAACUUCCAAACGCCUGAACCGCAGCUGCCAGGGGUUCCUCCAGAACCUCCUCCCCCAUGAGCUUGCUACAUGUGCCGGAAAUCUGGCCACUGGGCCAAGGAAGGCCCGCAGCCUGGGAUUCCUCCUAAGCCGUACAGCCCCCAUUACUUCAAUCAAGCCCAGAUUUCCUCCUCAUCUGUUACCUAUCUCGGCAUAAUUCUCAUAAAAACACACGUGCUCUCCCUGCCAAUCGUGUCCAACUGAUCUCUCAAACCCAAGCACCUUCUACAAAACAACAACUCCUUUCCUUCCUAGGCAUGCCUUUCUGUCCAAACAACUUGACCUUACUGUUUUAGCCUAGCCCUCAAGUCUGUGUGCAGUGGCUGCCGCUGCUUUAAUACUUUUAGAGGCCCUCAAAAUAAG
rnacentral:lncRNA from 10 species